GGCGAGGUAGCAAAGAGGUUAUGCGACGGCCUGCAAAGCCGGAGAGACAGGUUCGAUUCCUGUCCUCGCCUCCA
rnacentral:tRNA from 1 species